rnacentral:tRNA from 1 species
GGCGACGUGGCCGAGUGGCUGAGGCAAAGGACUGCAAAUCCUUCCACAUGGGUUCGAUUCCCAUCGUCGCCUCCA